UCUCUCUCUUCCUGUCUCUCUGUAUACCAUUAGCAUCAUCAUGGUAAACGUAUUAUUAUCAGGAACUGUUUAGAGGUGGAAGCCAGGACACUCCUAGUGAAGGCAGAAAUGGUAGCCCUUCUUUCCCCUGCAAUCUACAGUGUGGGAAACGGAGGCAGAGGUUUUCUUGAGGGACACAGGAGAAGACACCAGCAGUCCCCUCGGCUCUCCAACAGGAAGGUGAGAGCACCCAGUGCAGGAGACCACCUCCAGGAGAUGAGACCACACCGCACAGAUGCCGUCACUGUCUGGAAGUCAGCCUCCCACAGUGGACUGACCAUGUCAGGGCAGUGAUCCUCUGACUUGAGUGAGAUGCCUGCAGCCCUGUUCCUGCCUGGGAAGGGACUGUGUUAAGAGAAUGAAUAAAAUGACACUGAUGAACUAAAAAGUAGACAUUCAGCCAUCAGCUUCUCCUUAGGACUUCACGAAUAAUAUCACUUUCUCCCUUCAGUUUAGUGAAGGUCUGGGA